UAUAUGGUGGAUGUAUUUGA
rnacentral:siRNA from 1 species